AACACAAGAUCAAUAAAAAUAGUAGGCACCUUAGAUUUAAGAACAUGAGAUACCUAAGAUCUCUUCAACAUAUUUUGUCAGGAAGUUGUUAAUCGACUCACAUAACCAAGUGCUUGAAGCUCUGCACUAUGAUACUUAAGUCUUAAGAAGCGAUAAAACUUUUGUAACUAGAUGAGGGCAUCAGUCUUAAUUUUUUUUUUUAUAUUCGACUCUGACAAAAUUAUGGCCUGUCCAAGUCUGGUUCUCUAACCAAUGGGAUUAAUACUCCAUGAUGUUCUUCCUAUAAGCACAGGAUUAGGAAUGAUAUCAUUUUCAAAGUGGAGGGGCAGAUUUUCGUGAGGGCUCAUAAUCUUUCCUUACACCAAAAUCUCUUCUCAUAACUAUUGUUUUUAUUGAGUCUAAGUUUGCUCACUGACCAAAGAAGCAGUACAAUAAAGGAAGAGAAGAAGACUUGUGGUGAGUGUGUGGAAGUGUUGAUGUGUCAAGGUAAUAUUUCUAUUCUAUUCCCAGAUCAGCAAAUCAAGCAACUUCUGGCUUUUUGUACAUUAAGGAACAAUUCCAAUUCUGGCGUGUCCCUGUAGUAUAUGAUCCUUUCUUUCUUUUUACAUAUGGUAUUUGACACUUUAUGACAUUGUGCAUAACCAGCAAUCAAUAGGGUUAUAACCCCAGAAUUCCAAAUACAAUUUUCUGAAUUGAGAAGCAAAAUAAAAAAGGUGUUGCACAACCAAAUGUUAAACGGCUAAGGUAACAUUUUUCGGGAAAAAAUUAAACACAUGUAGUUAUCAAUAUUGUAAAUACAGGCUGAUAUAUCACUUCAACAAACACCUUAUGAAGUUGCACAAGUUAAGGGUUUUAAUUAAUAACUCCGCAAAACCUUCAAAAGGAUAAUAUGAGCUAAGUUCAAUGACCAUAUUCUGUAAUAACUGGCACAAUACUCGAGACCAGGAAGGGAGACUAGCUUAAAUUAAGAAGGAAACCCAUCACCCAUCUUAGCAUUUACACUAAUAGAAGCACCCACAUUUGUGAUUUAUCAAGUGCAUAAUAAAAUAAUAGAAGAAAACAAGUUAAAAAAGAAAGUGCAUAAUAAACCGACAUUUAUGAUUUAUCAAGUGCAUAAUAAAAUAAUAGAAGAAAACAAGUUAAAAAAGAAAGUGCAUAAUAAACCGACAUUUAUGAUUUAUCAAGUGCAUAAUAAAAUAAUAGAAGAAAACAAGUUAAAAAAGAAAGUGCAUAAUAAACCCACAUUUAUGAUUUAUCAAGUGCAUAAUAAAAUAAUAGAAGAAAACAAGUUAAUGUUAAAAAUAAAAAAUAAAAAAAAGCUUGAAAAAAAGUGGAAGACGAUGGAAAAAGUACCAAUGCACGGCGGUGGUAUGCUCGACGACGCUGGUAAUGCAAAGGAAUGUUGGAGCCAAAUAUGUAUUGUUUAUAUAACACUAGGAAUGUUGGUGUCCCAUUUGACAAAUAGGUCUGCUUGUAUAAGACAAAAUAGCAUUUUACAUGGCGUGUAUAUCCGAUUAUUGAUAGUGUUUGCUGCACACUGAUCCCAACAUUAUUAUUUAAUUCUCAUGCUUUUUGUCUUCUUAAUUUAAUAGUACUAUACUUAGUAAGUUAUUGUACAAUGUGAUAUACCUGGAUUAGUGAUACCAUUUUAAUAAUAAUAGUAUUAUUUAGUGAAUAUACUUUAUGGCAGAUUUUUGGACUAAAAACUGGUAAAGUUGUUGACAUGUGACCAGGAGGUCAUGAGUUCAAGCCGUGGAAACAGCCUCUUGCAGGGUAAGGCUGCGUACAAUAGACCUUUGUGGUCUGACCCUUUCCCAGACCCCGUGCAUAGCGGGAGCUCAGUGCAUGGGGCUGCCCUUUUUAUAUUAAAAGCUGGAUAUUGUGUAUAAUGUAAAACAUGUGUUACGUUUUUCGUACUAAAUAAGUAGGGUUAAACUUUUGUUUUAAUUAUAAUUAAGCUUUUAAGAGCAUUAGAGAAUAGUAUUUUAGUCAUUUUGGUGUUUAAUUCCGUGAUUGUUAUCCUGCAUUGAAGAUGGUAUAAAAAUAAUAAUCGUACCACAAUUGUGGUAUAACUAAUCCCUAUUUUAAAUCAAAAGUUCAACAAAACGCAGGAUACAAUAAUUUCACAUUUUAUCUCGAGAUUGUUAUCACUUAUCCUACAAAUUACACUACAAGAAAAGGUUUACUAGCGACCAAAAUUUAGUGACGGGUGAUAAAUCUCAUCCCUAAAAGUGUACGUAUAAGGACGAUAUUGAUUCCGGUCCCUAAUUCUCUAUUUUGCCUUUUAAUUAGUGAAGGGACUAAAUCCGGCCACUAAAAUAAUUGAAUUCUGGUCCUUAAUACUGUUAUUGAGCGUCACGCUAUUUAUCUUUGCCUUAAAAAUAUGAAAUAAACAAAAAUGAAUAUUCUAAAAUUAAAAAGAUAACAACUCUGUAAUUAGAACUCAGCUCUCUCAAAACUCCGUCUCCUUCUCAAAGCCUUAAAAACCCUAAACCCAUCUCUUAAAACCCGUAAGAUCCCUAAAAUCAUUAUCUCUCAAGAUUUCGUUCUUCCGAUUUCUUCUAAUAUUGUUGGAGAGAUAUGGGUAGCCGUUGGACUGAGUAUGGAUGUUCUUCCUACUGCAUAGAUGUUGCCGAAUAUUGCGUUGUUCCUAAAUCUGGUACAGGUUUGUGGGCUGAUUUUGGAUCUAGCUAGAGGGCUUGAACUCCAGAAAUAUUUUGGGAUUCCUCAGUAAACUUUGUCCAGUGAAAUAAAUUUCUUCUCAUUAUUGGCAACGAGGUACAAGGUGAAGGACCAAGUACAUUCAAAUAGCAAGAAGUUGAACACAAAGUGCAAAAAUUUCCCACCUUAUUGAAGAUAUGAAAAAUAUCGUCAACAAUAAUUUUUCCACUAGCAGAAAUUUGCUUCCUUAGAGGCUGUACAGAGUUUAACAACUGCACCCAAGAGUUUGUUGCAGUUGUGCACUGUUUUAGACACUGCUGUAGAGAUGCAAUCUCCAUUGAGUUCAACGGCUUGACGUACUCAGUUUUAACAAAAGUUGAUAUUAAUACCAAGUGAAGUUGUCAGCGCGUAUUGGAUGCAGAAAUAAAGAUUUGUUGAAUAUGAAAUCAAGACAGUUUCAUGGUAGAAAAAAAGAUUUGGCUGAAGGGGAUCAAACCACAACAACACGGGCCUCUUACAUCAGACAUUACAAAAGUUGUCCAAUUCUUUUUCCUUGCUGCUACAGAACUGAGUUAUUCCUUUACAGUUAGUUGUCGGUUGAUCUAAUUUUUGCCUUCAAAGUGAUUUUUCCAACUUAUAUUAGUUGAAUUACUCAUUGGAGUGUAUUAGACAGACUGGUAUCGCGAGAAUAUUUAGAUGGUUAUACUAUAUAAAGUCUAAAUUCAGAAAUAUGUAGGAGGUAAGGUAUAUGUCCCCCUCCUUGUAUUUGACAUGUUAAUGAAAUCUACAUUAAGGUCUCGAUGAUUAACCUUGAUGUGCAUAUAUGAAAGCUUGAUGUUACUGAUAA